CAGAAUCCAACCUAUGGAUCACUAAGUACACACUACUUCUUAAUUUCAUCUUGCCCUGGAAUUGAGAAGAAAACAAGGUCACUUAGGUAUAAACCUGGGAUUGUAAGCCAAUAUCCUCUGGGCCACCAAGAACAGCAGUUCAGAAAAUUUAUCUUUGCUGAUCAUAAAUGACAAGCUUCUAACAACCUCACAACUGACUUGUUUUCAGCUUCUGGGGAACAAUUUGCAGCAGGUGUUUGCUUAUCUGGAUCUGGCUGGCGAACCCUGGUGCUUCUCCUGGGCUGGCUCACACACAUGCACAGAAGCCAUUCUGUUU